GGAACUUCGAUAAAUCAUAACUUCCUCAUACGAAGUCAGAUUUGGGCGUUCUAUAUAUAUUCGGAAACCUCGUUUCAACUACUACAACAUUAACCAAAGAUAUUAAGUUUAUUUUACACUUAAAUUUUGACGCUUAUUUUUAUUCUUAAUUAAUCAAACCACAUAAUUAAGCAAUUAAGCACAAAACACAUAAUACUCAAAUAAUACAAUCUUAUUAUUUCAAAACGGGUUACAAAGGUUAACCUAGACUAUUACAUUGCUAAAAAUGGCAAGCCCGGAAACACAGGCGUUACAAUUCUCUCCACCUUAGAAUGAUUCCGUCCCCGGAAUCACACAUCAACAAACAAAUGCGGAUAGCGACUCAACAUGUCACUCUCCGUCUCCCAGGUGAGAUUCGGCCCAUUCGUGUGUUUCCAUCGGACAAGCACUAACCCAACCAUUUUGCGUCGCAACUUCUUAGUCUUUCGGUCAACAAUUGCCUCUGGUUCUUCAAUCAACCUUUUGUUCUCAUCAAUUCUCAAUUCAGAAAUUGGAAUUAUAUCGGGAACUUCUCCCGUGAACUUCCUCAAAUAACACACAUGAAAGGUGUUGUGAAUUCCAUUCAGUUCUUCGGGUAAUUCGAGCUUGUAAGCUUGAUUCCCAAUCCUCUGAAGGACUUUAAACGGUCCAAUAAACCUUGGACUCAACUUUCCCCUUUUACCAAAUCUUAUAAGUCCCUUCCACGGCGAGACUUUAAGCAAAACCGAAUCUCCAACCUCAAAAGUCAUCGGUCUUCGCUUCUUGUCAGCAUAGCUCUUUUGACGAUCUUGAGCUGCUAACAUUCUUUCCCUAAUUAUUUUCAACUUUUCAGCAGUUUGAUGAACCAUCUCCGGUCCCAUAAACUGCUUUUCCCCAGCCUCAAGCCAACAAGACGGCGUACGACACUUCUGUCCAUACAAAGCUUGAUAAGGUGCCAUCUUAAUGCUCGAGUGAAAACUAUUAUUAUAGGAAAAUUCUACCAACGGUAAAUGUUCAUCCCAAUUACCUAGGAAUUCCAAGGUACAUGCUCUCAGCAUAUCUUCAAGUGUUUGUAUUGUUCUUUCACUCUGACCAUCAGUCUGCGGAUGGUAAGCUGUGCUUAAACAUAACUUGGUACCCAUUUCCUCUUGUAGACUUUUCCAAAACCUUGAGGUGAAACGGCUAUCACGAUCCGAUACAAUCGUUAACGGAACACCGUGAAGCCUCACAAUUUCCUUCACGUAAGAAUUCGCAAGCUUUUCCAUAGACCAUUUCUCCCUGGCCGCUAUGAAAUGCGCACUCUUAGUGAAUCGAUCAACGACCACCCAAAUCAUGUCGUGACCAUUCUUUGUUCUGGGCAGUUUAGUGACAAAAUCCAUAGCAAUGUCUUCCCACUUACCCAUAGGCACAGGCAAUGGUUCUAAACUCCCGUAAGGUUUCUGAUGUUGUGUCUUGACUCUCGCACAAGUCACACACUCGGCCACAUACUUUGCAACAUCAAGCUUCAUCGUCGGCCACCAGUAGUAGGGUUUCAGGUCCCUAUACAUUUUAGUGCUACCCGGAUGAAUUGAGUACAUGGUUUUGUGAGCUUCUUCCAUCAGAAGAUCCCUAAUUCCUCCUGACUUAGGUACCCAAAUACGAUCUUGGAAUACCUUCAGUCCAUGACCGUUAGUACCAAACACCAACGUUUUACCCAAACGUUCCUCCUUUCGGUCAUUUUUCUCAGAAGCUUCCUCUUGAGCUUUCUUUAUACUUUCCACAAUAGUCGAGACAACUUCAAUUCUCAACGCUCUUGGCCUCUUCCUUUCAAGAUUGACUUUCCGACUGAGAGCAUCAGCAACAACAUUAGCUUUACCGGGGUGGUAAAGUAUCUCGCAGUCGUAGUCUUUAAGUAAUUCUAGCCAGCGUCGUUGCCUCAUAUUCAAUUCUUUCUGAUUAAAGAGGUAUUGGAGACUCUUAUGAUCAGUGAAAAGUUUGCACUUCGUGCCAUAGAGGUAAUGCCUCCAUAUUUUCAGAGCGAAAACUACCGCUGCCAACUCCAAAUCAUGAGUCGGGUAAUUCUUUUCAUGCUCUUUCAGCUGUCGAGACGCAUAUGCUAUCACCUUUUCUCUUUGGGUCAAAACACAACCCAAUCCAACACCAGACGCAUCGCUAUAAACAGCGAAGUCUUCAACUCCAUCGGGUAGAGAAAGUAUCGGUGCCUCGCAUAGCUUCUUCUUUAACUUCUCGAAUGCUUCUUUAUGCUUCUCACUCCAAGCAUAAGUAGCUCCUUUGUGGGUCAAAGCUGUUAAUGGAGUAGCAAUCGAAGAAAAGCCUUGGAUAAACCUUCGGUAAUAUCCGGCUAAUCCUAAAAAGCUUCGAAUCUCCGUGGGACUUUUCGGUUGUUCCCACUUCGUCACAGCUUCGAUCUUCGCUGGAUCAACCAUUAUCCCUUCUUGGUUGACCACGUGACCCAAGAAUUGGACCUCACGAAUCCAAAAAUCACAUUUGGAGAACUUCGCAUAAAGCUUCUCCUUCUUCAAAACUUCUAACACUUCUCGCAAGUGUCUGCCAUGCUCCUCCUGGCUUUUCGAGUAGAUCAGAAUGUCGUCUAUGAACACUAUCACGGAUUUAUCAAGGAAAGGAUUACAAACCCUAUUCAUCAAAUCCAUGAACGCUGCUGGAGCAUUGGUUAGUCCAAACGACAUAACCAAGAACUCGUAGUGUCCAUAUCUAGUUCUGAAUGCAGUCUUCUCGAUAUCUUGCUCUCUUACUUUCAGCUGAUGAUAUCCUGACCUAAGAUCGAUCUUCGAGAAAUAGCUCGAACCUUGCAAUUGAUCAAACAGGUCAUCAAUCCUCGGCAACGGAUAUCUAUUCUUUAUUGUUGCCUUGUUCAGCUCUCUGUAAUCGAUGCACAUUCUCAUACUUCCAUCUUUCUUCUUUACAAAUAACACCGGAGCUCCCCAGGGCGAUGAACUAGGUCUAAUGAAACCUUUGUCCAAUAACUCCUGAAGUUGCAUCAUCAGCUCCUUCAUCUCCGUCGGUGCUAAUCGAUAAGGUGCUUUUGCUAUUGGCGUGGUUCCUGGUAACAAGUCUAUUCUGAACUCCACUUGUCUAUCAGGUGGUAAUCCAGGAAGAUCCUCGGGAAAUACUUCCGGAUAAUCACACACCACUGGAAUGCUCUGCAUCACCUUCUUUUCUUUCUUAGCAUCAAUCACGAAUGCUAAAUAUGAUGUACAUCCCUUGGUCAAACACUUUCUGGCUUUCAUUAGAGAAAUGAUUCCAGAAUUCACUCUGCGUUUGUCCCCAUACACCAUAAACGAAUCUUUCCCAGGCGGGUUUACUUUAACUAUCUUCUUCUUGCACAAAAUUUCGGCAUCAUUGGCGCUAAGCCAAUCCAUUCCCAAGACGAUGUCGAAACCAUUUAGUUCGAUAGGCAAUAAUUCCUCGAGAAACUUAUUCCCAUUAAGGUCGAUCAAGACGUUUUUCAUACGAUGGCUAACAGGUACAAACUUGCCACUAGCUACUUCGACUAAUAAAGCAUUAUCUAGUCUAUCAACAGGCAAAGCUAGCUUUCUACCAAACUCAUGCGAAAUAAAGGAGUAGUUGGCUCCAGAAUCAAACAAUAUAUGAGCAGGUAAUUCGUUUACGAGAAAGGUACCUGAAGCGACAUCAGCUUCAUCUUUCGCAGCCUCAAGUGUCAUCUGGAAGGCUCUCGCCUUCGGCUUUGGUGGAAUGUUGGGCCUAGCUGCCUCCUUCUUCUUCGGACAGUCUUUCAAAAUAUGCCCCUCUUCAUUACACCCAAAACACAUCCUUUUGUUGUUCGGACAUUCAUUGGCAAAAUGUCCAACCUUUCCACACUUGUAGCAGGUCACAUCCUCGCUACAUUUCCCAAAGUGCUUUUUCUUACACUUAUCACACCACUUUGCUUCGCCUCCUUUUCCUCCAAACUUUUUCGAAUCAGAUUUCGAAAAUUUGCUCUUCUUACUGGAACCAGAUGUUCCUUCAAACUUCCUUUUCUCACCAACCUCAACCUUGACGGUGGUUCUCCCCUUGAUCAUGUUCUCCACAGACUUGGCAGCCCAGAUAGCUGCCUCUAGAGUAAGUGCCUGACGUACCGGCACCUCGUACUCCCAUGGAAGUCCCUUCGCAUACCGAUCCACCUUUGUCAGCUCGUCUGGAACGAUACGCAAGGCAAACUCCAUCUUAUCGGUGAAGUUAUUGGUGUACUCAUCCACUGACAUGCUACCCUUCGUCAAUGUCAAAAACUUGUUCUCCAACUCCAACAGAUUUUGAGCCGAGCAGAACUUGCGCUUGAACUGCACCAAGAACUCUGCCCAUGACAAUUGCAGUGGCUCAUUAGGGCUUAAGGUCUUCCCUAGAGUGUUCCACCAACGAACGGCUCCACCUCGGAAUUGUCGCACGGCAUAGAUAGUCUGCAACUUGCCUCUACAGCCACAUGUCAUAAAGGCUAACUCCAUUUCGGAGAUCCAAUCCAUAACCCCAAUCGGAUCCUCCUUUCCAUUGAAGGUCGAUGGUUUACAAGUCAAAAAGUCCUUGUACUUGCAUCCCAUUCCAUCAUUCCUUCCAUCAUGGUUAUCUUGCCUAACUAUCGGUGGGUUGGCUGGACCAACAGACCCACUGAAGUUUCCACCUUCCGAGUGCCCUUCAUUCAGUUCAGGCUCUUCCACACGAAUCGACAGUUCUUCACGAUUUUGUUGAAGCAACCGUCUAGUUUCAUCCAUCUGACGAUCCAACAUCGUCUGAAUCAUCAAUUGCACACCAGCCAUGGUUAUUGGCUCAGGUGCUGCUGCUACGACAGGUAUUGGCUCAAUCACUGGUGGUUGAUUCCUGUUUUCGUCAGCAUUUCCAACUCCACUUCUUGUUCUCACCAUUUUGAUCUACACCGAAUAAGGUGAAAUUAGAUCCUCAAUCAUGAUAGAUAUUCAAAUCAUCCUUAUCACUCCGAAACGUUUACAUGCUAGUUCUAAUAUCGUAGACGUACGCUUAGAAUCCUACACACAUAAGGUUUCUAGAUCCGGUCGGCAACAGACCAUAGAUCCGAACAAAUAAUAUCAUAUAUGGCAACAUAUAACAUUUAGCACAUAAAGCAUUUUAGGCAACUUUCCUAAAAUAAACUAGUGCUCGUGUCUAAAUCACAACAGACACACAUCUCAAAACUUCACUUAGCAUUCUAAGUUUAAGUCUAGAAAUCCUACAAAUUCCUAGUUCGCUUAAACUAAUGCUCUGAUACCAACUGUGACAUCCCCAAAAUCUCGGCCAGAAAAGACCGAUUUUCAUUUAUGCUUUUAAAUAUUUUCAGAGUAAAUCCUUUUGAUUUGAAAGAGUUGCGGAAUUUGUUCCCAAAAACAAAACAUGAUAAAACAUUGUUUACCGAAGCAUUUCAUAAAAGAAAUGUAUUUUCAUUAUAAUCAAAACUCGGGGUGUCAUGUUCCGAUACAGACCAAUAAGCAUAAACGAAUACAUUACAAGUCAUAUAACAAAUAUAAACAUAUGCAGACUUGUAAACAAAACAACUUGAUGGUUCAUCCAUCUCAUGCCCUUCCGCCACUACCUGUAAUACAAUUUAAAACUGAGUGGGUCAGGCUUGGGAGCCUGGUGAGCAUAUAGGGUUUUCAACCCACAAUAAAUAUCAUAUUUAAUUUUCACCAACCAACAAUAACCCAAUUACCCAUUCCCGUUAUUCUCACUUUAAUGUCCCUAAAACAACUAACAUAAGGGACCUAGUCUAAGAAUAUUUCAUCGGGGCGACAACACAUGCUUCGGGGGUACCUCAGCAAUAUAAGUCAAAUAAGGCAACCAUGAGGGGGAUGGAGUACAGCGAAUGAACACCCAAGUUCAUUAACACCUACAGGUGGCGAACCUGCUAAUGUUUCCACAAGACUGUCUAGAAUAGCCAGUGGUCGUCAUCUAAACUCCGCUAGAUGACUCAAUCAAACAACAACGAGGCCUCUCAUCUGUUUAUUACACACCAACUGUCUACCCAUGUUCUACCCAACAUAUUAGUAGAUAAAAAUAUACAUUUGUAUACAUAGUUUAAAGAAAACCUGUAUAGCAUGCUUUAAUCAACACAUAUAUCACAUAACAGAUGAGGCACACACACACAUAACACAUAUCUCAUAAAGAAAUAAGCAGAUCUAUAAGAUAGAAGAGAGUGAAUACUCAUUCACACAUAACACAACCAAAUAUAUACACAUAGCACGUAUUUUAUAUAAAAUACUUCAUAUUAUUGUAUUAGAAGAAAAUAACUACACACUCACUUGAUCAGAAGAUGAUCCGACAGCACUACGGCUUAUGGAAGUAGUAAUCCUCCGUAGAUCUGGAAGAUCUUCACAAAAAUCGAACUUUUCGCGGGCAGAGCUUCGGCUCAGGAACCGCACUUCUCGGGAUCUUCGGGAUCUCGGAUCUUGCUUCGGGACUAGAGUAUGAUACCGGGGCUUCGGGAUGGCUUCGGGGGUUUUCGCGUAGAGCUUCGACACAAAAACGAGAGGAAAAUGGUAAAAAUACCCGGAACCCUCGCAUCCUAUUUAUAGGAGGCUGAAGCCUCGGAGUACGCGGGGCGUACUGCUCCGAAGUCGUAAGCGCAUGCGUCAUUCGAAGUGUCGACACUACUCUGAGUACGCGGUAGCAUACCCUCGUACGCUGGGCGUACUCCGGAUCACACCGGUGACUCGUCUUUGGAUAAUACCUCCGAAUUUAUAAUUAAAUUUAAAUACAAAAUCAUUAAUAAACUUCGGAAAUUCAUAACUUCUUCAUACGAACUCCGUUUUUGACGUUCUUUAUAUCCACGGAAAGGUGAGACCACGCUCUACGACUUUCGUUUAGACUCCGUUGGCUAAUUUUGACUUUUUUUUAUUAAUUAUUUUUAAUAGGCCGGGACAUAAACUUUCGUUAUAAAUUCAUAACUUCUUCGUUUGACGUCCGUUCUCGCCUAACUUUUUUAUCGUUUUGAUACCAACAAUGAGAUCUUCGAUUCUCAUUUAGAUUGCUUCGGCUAACAACCGCUCGAUCUCAAAUCGAGUAAAACAGGCUGUGUACCGCUAAGCCGGAACUUCGAUAAAUCAUAACUUCCUCAUACGAAGUCAGAUUUGGGCGUUCUAUAUAUAUUCGGAAACCUCGUUUCAAUUACUACAACAUUAACCAAAGAUAUUAAGUUUAUUUUACACUUAAAUUUUGAUGCUUAUUUUUAUUCUUAAUUAAUCAAACCACAUAAUUAAGCAAUUAAGCACAAAACACAUAAUACUCAAAUAAUACAAUCUUAUUAUUUCAAAACGGGUUACAAAGGUUAACC
rnacentral:lncRNA from 1 species